CCUACGGGGGCUGCAGUGGGGAAUAUUGGACAAUGGGCGAAAGCCUGAUCCAGCCAUGCCGCGUGUGUGAAGAAGGCCUUCGGGUUGUAAAGCACUUUCAGUGGGGAAGAAAGCCUUGGGGCUAAUACCCUCGAGGAAGGACAUCACCCACAGAAGAAGCACCGGCUAACUCCGUGCCAGCAGCCGCGGUAAUACGGAGGGUGCGAGCGUUAAUCGGAAUUACUGGGCGUAAAGCGCGCGUAGGCGGUCUGAUAAGCCGGUUGUGAAAGCCCCGGGCUCAACCUGGGAACGGCAUCCGGAACUGUCAGGCUAGAGUGCAGGAGAGGAAGGUAGAAUUCCCGGUGUAGCGGUGAAAUGCGUAGAGAUCGGGAGGAAUACCAGUGGCGAAGGCGGCCUUCUGGACUGACACUGACGCUGAGGUGCGAAAGCGUGGGUAGCAAACAGGAUUAGAUACCUUGUAGUC
rnacentral:rRNA from 1 species